rnacentral:lncRNA from 1 species
UAGCUAGAGAAUAUAUGCAUAAAAGUCUAAAUCUUAAUACCAUAACAAAAGAAAAUUAUUUUGUGGUCAAGUUUGAGCGAAUUUAUGUCAUGAAACUUAAACGUAUCAUUGGGACAACUCAAUCAACUAGUCUUCACAAUAUUUGAACCAGAGACUUGCUACUCGAACAAGGUUCCAGAAAUUAAUCUAUUCAACAUUUAUGGAAGAGGACAUCACCUUAGGCAAUUACAAAGAGGUCAUAAAAUUGUACAAGAAUAUUUUUUACAUUCUACAAGCAGUUAGUUGAAAACCAAAUCAAUGUUCAGGCAAACUUCUUUUUCCAUUGUAAUGAUUUGUUCAAAUGCAUGAUAUUUCCAAGUUUUUUGUCUACAAUGCUUUUUUACGAAGCAAAAGGAAAAAGAACAUUUUAAAAAAAUUUCAAGUGCAAGAGAAGUGCAACAUCUCAUACCCAUCCUUCAUAAAAUGUAAAUAAUAAUUAUCACCUGCAGAAGGCCAAUACUUACAUUGCCAGUACAGAGUUCUGCCAAGAUGCAGCCAAGUGACCAUACGUCUAUCUUCUUAUCAUAUGGAAGUCCUAGGAUAACCUCGGGUGCACGAUAGGACCUGGAUUGAACAUAGGAGCAUAGGUGAUCUGUCUCAAAACAACUGCUCCCAAGAUCAAUCACCUUCACCUCACAUCUACUAUAGCUUUUUACUAAUAUAUUUUCUGGCUUGAGAUCACAAUGUAUUAGGCCAAGACCAUGCAAAAACUGGAGAGCCUCCAAACACUGAAUGGUAAUUGACUGCACAGAAGAAUUUAAAACAAGAUUACAAAAUAGCAAGCCAGAGAUUAGAAGCUCCUCUGAAGAAAACAGCUCUCCGCUAACCUGCAAUCUCGGCAUUGUGAAGUAAACCUCUCCACCUGAUUCCCUAUUAAAUUUAUGAAACUCAUAUAAGUUUGCCUUGAGAAGUUCACAGACUAUUAGCAAAUGCUCCUGAAAAUAAAAAAGAGUCAGCUGCUACUCAAUUCAUAUACAAUUGUCAUUCAUGUACUGGACUCUAUGAUGCAUUAGCCAGCAGAUAAACUUCUAAUUUUCACCAGCCAACAAGCAUUUACACUCAACAUGACAACUUGAACUUCAAAAGAUAAAACCAUUUGCCUCCAGAAGCCAGACAUGUUCAGAACAAAGCCCCCAACAAAUGCACAUGUCAAUAGAAACAUGCAAGAACUAGGACCAGACUCCAGAUUAUAAAAUACUGGGAACUUGCAAACAUCUCACCAAUGGUAAAGAAUAUAGAAAUAAAUGAAACAUUAAAAAAAAGGGAAAAAAAUACCCAGUAUCCGUUAAUAAAGCAAACAUGAAAGUACUAGGACAACCAAAAGCAUGAACAAGGAAAAAGAAAGACAUACAUCCUCUGCAUUUACUUACUCGGUAGUAAAAGUAAUCAUACAAUCGGAGAAUGUGGUGCUUAUCUGCUGGAUCAUGUUUAUUAACAUACUUGAGAAGCUUAAUCUCAUCAAGGCUUUGAUCAAAAAAAUCUUUGUUGUUCUUUAUAAUUUUCACACAGACAUCCAUUCCUGUGUGUAGGUCAUGUGCUUGUAUAGCUUUACUAAAAGCAGCUGAUCCAAGAUACUCAGUAACAUGAUAGCGCCCCGCUACAACCGAAUUCAAAACAACAUGGAAAUUCUUGUCCUCCUCAAAUCCAGUUCUGAGAAGCGAAAAGAGGACUUAUGUUAGGAAAUCUGUUGGCUAGAGCUUUAUAGCUUGUAGCAAAGUGAAAAACAUUCAGUAUAAAUUAUACUAAAGAAAUAUUAUCAGGCAAGUAAAAUUUCCACGGCUUAUAAAAAAAGUAAAAAUUCCACAAGAUAUGCCAUUGGUGGUAAAAGCAGCAGUAAUUUAGCUCUCAACUUAUUUCACUGUCAUCAAUAACAAAAAAGUAGCAUCUACCUGAAAUAUUCAACAAGCUUUCGUUUCUUUCUUUUUCUUUUUUGUCCAUUAACAGUUGCUAACCAUUUAGGGAUCACGUUAAAAGCCAAUGGUCUUGCAAGUCAAAUAAUGUCUCAAAAUUCAAAAACUCAAAAUGGGAAAAAACAAAAAAAAAGAAACCUAGUUCCAAAUGAUGAAUUAGGUAAAAUUUAAGCUAAAAAUAGAAAGAAAAAAUUAUGAGCUAUGUUAAAUACUUUGUAAAGGAAAAAUUGUAAAAAAUGAGAACAGAUCAUUUAAUUAGUUAACUGAAGCUCUAUGUCCCUUCUGCUGAAGAUUAACCACUACAGUCCAUAAAACAUACUAAUCUUCAAAAGCUUUUGUCAAUCAGAAAACUAUAAGAGGAAGCAUGGCUUUUGCUCUCCAAACUCAACCAGAGUUCAUAUUGAUACCACCAGAGAGUUCCAACAAUACUUGAUAUCUCACAAGGAAAGCUAAAAUAAAACAAUGAGAAUGGACAAUACCAUCUAUGUACCAGCAAAAGGUUUGAAAUUGUUAGCACCAGUGAAUGAACAGAACAUAUGUAUUACAUUCAGGAUUUGUUUCUAAGAUAAGACAUGCCUGUUUUUCCUAUGCACAAUCUUGAGGUUGAAGGUCUCAAAUUCCUCCUCCUGCGCUUUAAUUUGUCUCAUUUGCUCUUGUACAGCAGCAGCCUCUUCAUCCUCAAGUGAUGCCCCAGGAUCCUCUUCCCUCACACCACUGAUUUUCUCAUCCUCUUCUUUCUUGGUCUGCUCUUGUUCACCAUAACCAUAAUUAGAGGGAGUUGAAGGACUAGAAGUUGCUGAUCUUGCAGCAUUGGCAUUGUUUUCAUCCCUAGAACUUUUGACAGUUGAAGAAUCACUGCUUUUCCGUCUCCAUGUAGCAAGCAUAUCAUCAGACCCCACCAAAGCAUUCAAACAGUCAUCAUGUUCAUCGCCAGCAGAAUUGCAGUUACUUGACCACAGAGACUUACUAGAGCGUGCCUGCACCAACUGCCCAUCCCUUAGAGGUGGAGGAAAAGAAAAUCCCCCAUCUGCAAUAUUCUUCACCUGGGGGCAGGCACCUUUAUCAUUUCCAAUAACAUAUUUAUUGGAAUCAUUUUUGUUGGUUUUCCUUUUAUCCCUAAUUGAUUUAUCAAUAUAUUUCCUGUCUGUCUCUUGAUGACUUUGUCUGGACCCUCCAAUAGCAACAUCAUGAUCAUGAAAAUAUUCUAAAUCCCCUUCACUACUACCUCCAACUAAACUUUCACGUACUUCACUGCCAAUAUCAGCGGCAUCACUGUUGAUUCCCACACCAAUAGACCUAACUGAACCAUGCUGAUCAUCAUCAAUACAAAUAUCAUCCAGCCGAGAUCUCCCAUGCUCAUUGAGAACUUUUCCAUCCCCUAGCAUGAUAAGUUCAUUUGUCUGUGUGACAAAUCCCUGCCAAACAGGUUCAGCACGCAUCAAAUUAAGCUCUUCUUCAUCCAUUAAUUGUCCAUCAUAUUGGGCAAUUAAAUCAUUCUCAUGAGUCCUCCCAUACAUUUCAUUUAUGGACAGUCCUAUAGGAUCAUCCGAAGCUGAAACAGGUUCAACAUUCUUUGCCUGGAAAUAUUGUUCACCAGAGAAGUAAGAAUCCUCCUCCGCAAAUGAUUGAUCAUCAUCUUCAUCCUUGGUUUGACCUCUUUCUUGCGGAUCUGGCACACUCCCAUGCCCAGUUCCCUUUUCAUUGUCACUAGGAUAAUCAAUUUCAUGAGCCAGAAACCAGGCUUCAUCCUCAAUAGGUUGCCUCAUGUAUCCAACAUCGUCAUCAUCAUCAUAUUCAUCAGAGUCCCAAUACUCAUUUGGGUAAUCAACAGAUUCACUUAAUCCAUCACCAACAGUAGCAAAACCUGAAACCAGAUCAGAUGCAUCUUCUGCAAUGCCCUGACUCACAGAAAGCCAACUGCCUCCACCAGUCCUUUUCCCACCUGGAUGAUAAACAAGAUUCAAGCUUACUCAGCAGAGUUAUAAGAGAAAUAACCAUCUUCUCUAAAAAUAAAUAAAUAAAAAGAACAUUCAUGGUGAUGAACUUGAUCUAUUUAGGGCCAGACAGAGAGCUCAGCAUCCAACCAUAAGUAACCAGAGAAUGCUACAAGUUGAAUUCUUUUUAAAACAUAAAUAUCUAAAAAAAAGUGCAAAAGCUCAAGCAUGUAACAUCAACUUAGAAUUUAGAGAAGAGAUAACCACUUGAACCAUUGCCAUUACCAGCUAUUGAUGACAAUAAAUGCAUUUAUCAUGUUUACUACUAUAAAAUGACCUUCCAAGACAAAAGCUUAUGUUCAUUAUUUGUUAUGCAGUAACAGAUGCCUAAAACAAGCACCUGAAAUGUAAUUCAUAUAGGAAGAUGAAUAAUAUCCAUUUUGAGGCCCACAGAUAAUAUGUGAAUCAAAAAAGCAGGAUCUGAUUGGUUCAAAUCAUAUAACUAACCAGCAAGGUAUCAAGCAUCAGUCUGAUGGAUUUGGAAAAAGUGAGGGUAGGCUUUAAGGUUUAAUAUUUACUUUUGACAUAUAUUUGAAGACUAUCAUUGAAAUUUAAAAUAAGUUACCAAAUAAAUAACAUCAACACACCUCAAGAAGCGAAAAAGGGGUAGUUAAUAAUUUAUAGCAUUGUUAAAAGGUCUCAAAUAGUUUUACAAUGCAAAUUAGGGUGUAAUCAAAUCAAGCAACUCGUCAGCUACUCAGGCUUCAGCCAAUGAAUAUUCAAAGUCAAUUCAUUCAAUUGUCCAAUUGAGCUUGAGCUUUUGAUACUCAGCUCAAGUGGCCCUUGAGCCUAAUCAAGCUUCUGAGUUGUUUAGUACUUAAUAUAAAUAAAUAAAAUAUAAGAUUUAUUUACAUAGAGCUUGAGCCUCAAUCGAGUUUUGAGCUCCUUAUUUGACUGGAUGAUACUCCAGCUAAAUUCUAGCAAAGCUUAACUAGCUCAAUUAAUUUUUCAAGCCAAACUAGAGAGCAAAAAUUUAAAGCUCAAGCCUGAAACUGUAUCAGCUUGCCUUGGCUGAUUACACUCCUAUGAAUACCACAAAUUAAAUAUCAAGAAAAUUUAGAGUUGUAUCCAUUUAUUAUUUGUUAGGCAGAUUAGGACCAUACAUAAGUUACCAAAUCCUAUUUUCUUGUUUAUCUGGUUGAAUGUAUUUCUGCUUUCUAUUUUAACUACACAAGUUCUGAUAUUAUCAAAAUUGCUAAUUAUUGUUACAUCUUGAUGCAUAAGUCUGUACUUUAAGAUCUAGCAUUAGGCAAUUGAGCUAUUAUUGUAGGACUAAGAUCAGUAGGAGCCAAUACACAUUCAUUGCUUCUUUAAAUUAAUAGCCUCCACUCUUCAGCCCUGUGGUUUCUAUCCCAUGUGGUCAGGCAACAAGACCUAUAUGUCCAGGCUCCCCCACAUCUCCCAUCCCCUCCCCCCAAAAUUCCACCUGGUAAUCAAAAUAAUUAAAAGGUACAAAAAAAAAAUUUAAAUGGAUUCUUUCAACAAAUCAAAAAUAAGUUUAAGAAAUAUUCAAAAACUAAAACACUUUAUCUAGGAUCAUGCUAAAUAUUUAACAACAUUAGGUGGAAAACAUAAGAUAUUAGGCGAGAGGCAUAAGUGUUUAUUCCAUUUCCUUGAAAAGUUUAGAAGUAAUUUGAAACUUAUAAACCACUUUGAAUUGUCCCUAGCAUAUCUUCCCACAAAUUAUAAUAUCAAUUAAUUAUACCUUUAUGUUACCAUUCAGCAUAAGUUCACAGUAGCCACUACCCAGCAGGACCAGUGAUUUCCUAAAACUAGAAUUUACUCAUCGGCUCACAAUCCUAAACCUCCCAUACUACAACCCCAAGUGACCAAAUAAUUCCAUAACUCUACCCUUUCUAAUGAGAAAUUAUGCUCUCCAAAGUUAUUCUUCCCUUAUUGACUGACAGCACCUAACUGCGAAAAUCUUUGAUGGUUGUCCAACUGAUUAAAGAUUCAAGUGGGAAGUUUUAAACAUGAAAUUUCAAAAAAGAGAAGGAAAAAGAUUUACCCCACUGUCAUUCACUGUAUAUUUUUACACUGGACACGACAAAGAGCACCUGAAAUUAAAUUUUAGUUUAUCUCUCAAAGGGAAGAAUCCUUAGUAACUUAAUAAAUGAAACAUUUGUGCACAACUCCAAAUUCAGCUCCUCUUAAACUAUUUCCAAACCAAAUGUCGAAUUAAAACACUCCACCAUGUUAUUUUAACAUAUUUUACAUAUUUACAGUUUGAAGGUAAGCUGUCUUCAUGCUAUUUCUUUCUUUUCAUUUUACUUCUCCAGUAAUGCCUUGCUUCCAGAUCAGGUACACCAUUAAGAUUUGAGAUAAAAAUUAGAAGAACAACAGUAAUUACAAAGUGAACAAAAAGCACAGUAACUUUUCUUCCCACUUCAGUUCAGCUGAGAGGCCUCUAGAAGGGGUUUCUUCCAACUUUUUUCUCUUUUAUUAUUCUUUGUGUCACCUUGAACCAAGUUCAACCUCUCUUCUCAGCUUCUUAAAAUGAUUUUUUAAGGACUCACAAAGGUGCUUGCCAACAGAAAAAUGGAAAACCUUAAAGGAGAAUUCUUUAUUAAAUUCAUGAUAACAAAGCAUCCAUUCUCUUAUAGGAUAGAUUAUAAAACACAAAAUUUGCAUAGCUCACGGAUGAGGCUUUGCCACCAAUGGAUAGUUGGCAUCUUUCCACAUUAACAAACAUUUUUACCACAACAAAUGAGAUAUGUCAGUAAGGUUUACACAAAGUAUAUAUAUACAUAUAGACAUACAACAUACAUACAUGUAUAAUGCCAGAACAUAUAAGCAAAUGACGUAUGGAAAAGUAAAAGUAGAAAAGAUAAUGAAAAUAUGGAUAAAUAGCCAACUAUUUGCAAUCAUUAAUUUAAAGAAAAUCAAAUAUCUGUGUGCACAAAUUUCAAAUAAACAUAUUAUUAUGUGAACUAACCAGAAGAGUUUAUUUCUUGCCCAAUGGGAACAUCCAGAUAUGACCCCAUAAGGAAGGUACUGUCAGCACUAGUGAGCUUUGCGACUGGGCCAUCACGUUCAUAUUUUUCCUCCCAAUUAACAUUCAAAGACUUCUCCUCAGACUUAAGUUUAACUGGUGGCAGCCUAGGAAACUCUUCCUUUGAAUUAUCAGAUGCUAGAGAGAAGGCCAACCCACUUAUACCUUUUUGCUCAGAACUCCCUUGAGACUUCCCAAAGAAUAAAGCUCUUCCAACCUCAUCCACCUGUUCUUUAAUUGCUGCCCUAACAUCAAUUGCAUCUGCUUUCUUCUUUCCUUCUCUCUUCUCUGAACCAGUAGCAGCAUCAUAACUGAUUGAAACAUCUCCCUUAGGGAAUGGAAAAACAGUCUUGACAGAACAAUCUUUCCAUAACUCUGAAGAUGAACUAGUGGGUUCCUCACUUCUACACCAUGUGCUGUUAUCAGCAAAGUUUUCCUUAUAGUAUGCACUGCCAGUCUUAAAUUGCUGAUCAAGCUCCUUAGUUUCACUGGUAUGAAUCUUGUCGUACUUAGAUUCUACAUUAGCUUUGCUAGUAUUUCCAAGCCAUGUUGUUUUCAUUUCACCCGAAUAGACAAUCUCUUCUCCAGAUUUAACAUUUGCUUUAUCAGUGUCAGGAGCAUCAGCUGUACGAUAUCUUGACUGAUCUGGCAUCUCUAGCUCUGAAAAGCUAGUGCUACUAACAAAUCCAUCAUUUUUGAACAGAUCAGGACCGUUGCUGGUAUUGAAGUUCCAUGACUGCAAUUUGAGUACAGUGUCCUCCGAACUUUUAGUGAAAGUGAAACCCUUAUCACUUGUCACUUUUGCUUCAUUAGGUUUACUACGCUCCCCAGUAGAAGCAGCAUUUCUCCAUUUGCUUUCAGAACCAUUUCUGCCAGCCCCACACUCAAUCUCUUUCACUAUAAGUUCCUUAGAAGCUUCACCACAAUUUCGAGAACCCGAGCCAUGACUUUCACCCGCUGGUUUUUUCCCAUUCUCUUCUUCUAGUACCUUGCCAGAAUCCUUUUCUUCAAGGUUAAGUUUCUGAAGGAAUCCAUUCAAAUCAGGGCGGUUACCGAGCUCACUCCGCAAAGCUGCCUCAGCUCUUGUGAAGCGAUUUCUCCUCAGAAAGUCCAGAAUCACAUCUACUGAGCUUGGUUCUGUCAUUAUGAAGUGCUAUAGAUCGAGAAACAGGUACUAGAAGCAAGAAUCCACCAAACCUGAAAAUAUCCAUACAAAAGCAACAAAAAAUUUAUUUAUUUAAAAUCAAAGAGGAAGUUUAAAAAAUGUCAGCUUUAAAUGCUUUUUUGACAGUAAGAAAUCGAUUUUAGAGAAAAAUAAUUAACAACAUUUGGAAUCAUUUAUAGUUUCCCUGUCCUUGAAAUACAAAUAUGUGAAAAAUUGCCUAAAACUAAAAGAUGGAAUCACGCUUAACCAACUAGCAGGUUUAUUUUUUCCAGGUGAAAUUUGAUUACUUCUUAUUUUCCUUUCAUAGUACUAAUCUACUCCCCAACAAAAAAAAAAUCAAGGUCAAAAACCAAAUGCAAUUCCAUGAAAAUCAAAACGGUGAAUGUUAGAAAACUUGAAUAAGGCACAUAGUGAUUGAUUUCUUAACUGACAUUACUUCCUUGCCCUAACUUCAAUCACUAAGAAAGUAUAAAUCUAAAAUCCCACAUUUUCCAUUCCUUAUUGUUUCUCGGCAUAGAAGAGUAAAGGCUUCUCUUUUCCUUUAAAAAAUCCCCCUAAUUUCAAAAACACAUUCCAUAUGAAAUUGGUACAUUUUCCCAAAAAUGAAAGAGAAAAAAAAACCCUAGAGGAAUUCCUAACCUCGUGAAUCAAAUCGAGAGAGGACAAGAUCCAUAGCUCCAACCAAAAACCCUAGAAAUAUCCCGGAUAACCUUAAAAACACUGAGAUUCAGAAUCUUAUUGAUGCACCCAAAAGUCGAACAGGAGAAUCGAAAGAAGAAAAAAAUACUUACAGAUCGAAGAAGAAGAAGAGUAGUCAGGCCAAUCUCUGUUGUUGGCUUUGGAUUCCAUAGCCACACUCCACAUGAAAAACUACAAAUGCCAAAAAAAAAAAGAAAACAAAACAAACAAUGGCGAUUUGUCUUCUUGUCUGCGCUUUGUUUAAUUUCUACUUUGCAUUUUCGUUCUUCUCUCUUCAGGUUGGGUUUUUUGUUAUUCUACUCUUGGUUUUCGGCCUGCAAUGUCUCUUGGGCCUGACAAUGGCAUAUAGGAGCAAUAACUUUCAAAAGAAAAAAAGCGUAAUAAUAAUGUUAUAAUAAUAAUAAUAAUAAUAAAAGUGAGGUGUGAGUUGUGACGUUGAACAGUUCUGCCUCGGGAUUCGUGAUGAGCGCACCCACAAAGCAUCGGACGGUCCUUAUUCUCCGUCAAACUUCUCUCCAUUUUCCCCCUUUUAUUUUUAAUAAUAAUCGUUCAUUUUCGUUACAUUAAUUUUAAAUUUAAAAAAAAAGUACAGAAAUGGAAAUCUGAUGGUUUAAAUUCGUAUAUUCUACAACUCACGAGUCUAUGACUGCAUGGCUUUUCGGAGCAUAAUAGGAUUAUGCCGAGAAUUUUCUGACCCCAACUACUGCCUUUCAUAUAAGUGCAAGGCAAUUAAAUUAUCCGAUUCAUGUGACUGAGUUUUCAAUUGAGACAAUGCUUAAUUUUCCAUCAACACCAAGAAAAUGCAAUUUAAUGUGAUUCAUAAUAGAAUAAUUCCUAUGAGCAUAGUAUUUAAUAGGUAAACUAUUCAUAAUUUCACAUGAAUUUAUUAAUAUUCGAAAUAAAUAAUUUGUUUUAAAUAUAUAAACGACGUUAAUAAUAUAUUUGAAAUGAAAAUACCUAUCACAUCAAAAGGCCUAAUCGCAUGUUACAAAAAACCUUAAUCACUCUUGUACUAUAUUCAUCCAUUUCUCUCCUCUCUUCAACCGUUCCCUCACACCAAUCAAUUAGGAUUUUUCUAAAUUUUCUUUCGAUUUAAAGCUUCCCUUCCAAUUUAAAGCUUCCCUUCCAAUUUAAAGCUUCAUCCUAUAACGAAAAAGCUAUAAACUAGUUUUUUGUUUUGAACCCUUUAAACCGCGACCUAAAUCAAGAUUACCCAAAUUGUGAUUUAAGGUUAGGGUUCAUCAAUUGUAGUUCAUUGAUUUUGUUGUCUUCGUAGUAAAUAUUAUGGUUUUAUGCUACCGUGUUGAGGGUUAAGGCUAGGGUUUCGAUUAGGAUUUGGGGAUUUAGGUUGAAGGUUACUAUUAAGGUUUUGAUUAAAAUUCGGGGAUUUAGGGUGAGGGUUUAAGGUUCUAUUGGUGCUUGAAGCUCAUUCAAAGCUAUUAGGGUGAGUAUUAACGUUUAGGUUGGGAUCAAGAUCGGGUUCAGGUUUAGGAUUUAAAAUUGGAGAUUUAAGGUUUUGUAAGGAAUUGGGGGAUUUAUUUAUUUUUUUUAGUUGAAAUAUGAAAAAUUAUUUUUUAUAAGUUUUAAUUUUUAAAAUUUAUAUUUAAACAAAAAUUACUAAAAAAUCAAAAGUUUUCUUUUGAUUUCAACAUGAUAAGUGUUUUUUAAUUUUUAAUUAAUAAAUUAAUAUGAAAAAUCUAUAUUUUAUUUAAAAAUAUAUUAUUAAGGAAUAUAUUGAGAGUUUAAAUUAAAAAAUAAUCAUCUUUUCAAUUUAUCUCUUACAAUCUUCAAUGCUAUUAAAAAAUAUAUACCAUUUUUAAUUUUUUUUCUUUAUUAUGUAUAUAUUGUUUAUAAUUAAUUUUAAAAUUUUUUAUCAUAUCUUACGAUAAGAUAUGGUACUCGAUACUAAAAAAUAAAAUUUCGAUAUACAAUACAUGUCUUGAUUUAACAACUAUGCCUAUGAGAAGAGGCCUAGCCUAGGCACCUUGUUGCAUUACGUAUUAACAAAAUUUUUAACAAAUUUUCUAGCAUGUUAUCUUCUAGAUUCACAUUUUUUCUUAUAGAGUAUUUGGAUUGGAAACAUUAAACAUUGUAAUUUAAACAUGAUUAAGAAAUUUAGUGGAAAUAAUUCAUACUAUCCUCUUUGUAUGAAUAGGAAAAGGAAUUGAACCGCUUGUGUGCUUCGUGAUGUUUCUCUCUUUUUGUGUUAAGCGAUUUUCCCAUUCUUUGUUAGAUUUAUUUUGUCAUUCAUUAGUAUCCCAUUCAUUAUCAAUAACAACAUUCCAAAUAUCUAUUGUGAUCUAGAAAUUAGACAUUGAUAGAGAUAAUGUAUGCUUUAUAAGCCAAUUGAUUGGAUAUAGAUAUACAUUAUGUUAUUUUAAGCAUUUGAUUUCGAUAAAAUGUUUUCUUUAUCUUUAUGUUUCUAAUUUUUAUUAUUAACUAGUUAGAUAAAGUCCAUGAAAUUAGUCAUUUUUGCAAAAACAAUUAUGAAGUGUUUUAAUUAUGAGAUCCUUAUUGCAUCAAAGCAUAAUUCCUAGAUGUUCCUAGUUAAUGUUGUUGGAUGUGGAUCAUAAUGUAUGCUUGUGAGUGUGUAACCUAUGGAUUUCAAAAUUUUCUAGCUAUGGAAGCAACUUAUCCAAUUUACACAAGCGAAAUUUCACAAUCAUACAUCACGCAAACUAUAGAAUAAUUGCAUUAAUGUUAAAAAAAUCAAAAGUAAGUGAUAUUACAUACUUCGUACUAGGAAUAUAUUUGAUUCUUCUCUUCUAGUGAAUUCUAAUAAAUUCACCACCACACCAAUCUAAAUCUAAACUAUAAUGAUUUUCACCUACAGAAGGUAUUAUAGUCAUUUUAUAUAUUUUAAUAGGUGUUUUUUGAUAUUUUGCUAUCUAUUAAAUAAAAAACAAGCGCCUAUCUGCUUUUUGGUAUUUUUCUGUUAUGCUUUUUAAUAACAUAUCACGUUAUCUAUAUCUCACAGUCAUUCCUCACAAAUGAUUUAGAUAUUUUUUCAGUCUAAAUAUAAUGUUCUCACUUACAGAAGGUAUUAUAGUCAUUUUAUAUCUUUUGAUAUGUGCUUUUUGGUAUUUUAUUAUCUAUUAAAUGAAAAAACAUGUCCUUAUUUGGUAUUUUGGUAUUUUUCUAUUAUACUUUUUAACAACAAAUAACUAUUAUCUGUGUCUCAUGUUGUGGAUUUCUCACGCAAGUGCACGUAUCGCGAACAAGUAAUAUAAUGAUGAAGUAGAGUAUUGUUCUCACAAAGCAUUGUUUUAAUUCUUAUUGUUAAGUACUAAAAUUAAUUCACCCUAAUUUUAUCUAAUCAAUUAAACUUAAAACUAAAACUAAAACUAAUAAACUAAAAAUAAAAUUAAUCUAAAGUUUAUUAGCAAAAUUUGUUUUAAGAAUUUAAUUAACUAUUAAACCAAAGAUUAUGAUAUCCCUCAAUGUGUCAUUUGAAUCUUAUCUUUUUCUCUUAACUUAGUUUAAUGGAUUAAGUUGCUAACCUAGAAUCUUAAAUUAUUUAUAAGUUUCUGUAAAGUUUCUUAUAAAAAUAUCUCGUAAUUAAUUUACUAUAUGUCUAUGCAAAUUAAGUUGAAGAAAGAUUCAUUAAGUUCAGGCUUUAAUCUUGGCUACGUAUGGCUUAUAGGUGUAUGUCUACCUUAUGCAAGUCAAACCACCUAAUCAACUAAGUGCAUUCGAUCAUACGUUACUUUAUUCAAAGUCUACUCAAAUCUCCUUCGUCAAGGUUUAAUUUAAAUUUUCAAUUUAAUCUAAUUGGUGGUAAGGCAAUUAGAAGCAUUAAGAACAUAAUAGAAUAAACAACUUAAAACCAUCAAAUAUAAGCAAAAAAGAGAUAAAUAAUUCAGACUACAUGUUGAGUGCAAUCAUAAUCUUAAAUAACUAAAUUAGUUCCGCAUAAUGUCACACAUUAUCAUCAAAUAAAGUUUAAACAUUGAAACCAAAUCAAGAAAAAUAAAGAAUAGCAAAAAGACAAAAGAAACUCUAAGAGUGAAAAUCUUAAUCUCCUAAUCUUCUUGAAUCCUUCAAUUUCGAUACCUACUCUACAGUAGUGGAUUGAGCUCAGCAGAUUGAGAUGAGGACCAGUGAGAGUAGGACUGCACGGGAUAGAGCAAAAAGGGCUAAGAUAGAGGGCUAUCAAGGUCAUAGAGACUUCAGUGGUGGUGUUUCGUCUUCUAGCCGUUAGGGUCCACAGAGGGACUCACGAUUACCCAAAUAAGGGAGUGACUUGAUGUGAGACCCCAACCUCUACAAGUUUGUAACUAAGUAUAGAUGUAAUAAUACGAGCCAAAGGUAGUUUCGUCAUUUUCUCUAAUAAGCUCCCAAAAGAAAGUUUUAUGAUAUUUUAAGGUCAAAUAGGCAUAAGACUGCAUAAAUGACGUGUAAUGAUGAAAACACGAAGAAAACUAGAAAUGACAAUAAUUUUCACGAUAGGGGCAAAAUGGUCAUUUUUCACCUCGGGUUAAAAUUUUAAGUUUUCAUGAACCCGAGCAUGUCUAGACCAUUAUGGAUCUUGUCUCGGUGUCAAAGGAGUAAAAAGAUUGCACAAAGGGUUGCAUGAGAACAAGCUAACUAGUCAAGCGUAUUUUCGUAAUUUUAAGGGAAUGGAUAAGUUUGGCCUAUAAAUACUUUCUUCCAGCAGCUUCUUCUCCCAUUUUCCAGCAGCUUGUCUUCUUCUUCUUCUUCUUCUCUCUCAUGUUUCUUCAAAACCUCCAUGGAAACUUGAUAUGUAGCUUCCAAAAUUUUCUCUCUCUAGCUCUAGUUUUCAUACUUUUGAGCCCUUUUGACUAGAACCCUAGUAUUUUUUCACUCUUUCACUUCAAAACCCUUGGUAAAGUUUAUUUCCAUAUUUUUUCUUACUAGCUGGGCGUUCUAGAGAGAGAAAGAGAGAAUUACCCCAUUUAUUUGGAAGCUAUUGGAAGGAAAUUCAACUACAAAGGAACCCAAGGGUGAGUGAUGAACUAAGCUCGAUUUUUAGCUGUAGAAAAUGGCUAGUAAUUUAGAUUAAGAGUUGUUUUAUUGUUGAGUAUGUUCAUUACUUUUGGUGAUUAAGAUAGUGAACAUAGAUAGCCAUUUAAUGUGGCAAUUGAAAGCUAGCUAAAAGAUAGCUUUUAGGGUUCAUAGUGUGUGAAUUGACCUAUUGCUUAUGCUAAUGUGAUCCUAGGUUUUAAGGAAGCCCUAUCAUCUCAUUUGGACAAUUAGGGAAAAUUGGAGUCAUCUAAAGGCUCUACAAUCAAUCGGUGAGUGGACUACCUAUCAAAAUCAUUUUGGGAAUGUGACUGUUUUGUACAAAGUGUUUGAAUGGUGUUAUACAACUUUUCUCAAAAAUGAAUGCCUUGGGAACAAGCUCUUGAGAAAUGGUUUAUGUUAUGACAUGUGGUUAUUAUGGAUUUCUAUGCGACUGCAUUAUGUUGAUAUACAUAUAUGUUUGAAUAUAGUGUUGUGUAAUUAUAUUGACUCGGCUAUGUGCGAGUACGGAGUGCGCAUAAGCCGAGGAUGGCUCGGUUAUGUGCAAAUAGAGAGUGCGCAUAACCCGGUGAUGACCCAGCCAUGUGCGGUAGGGAGUGUGCAUGAGCUGGUGAUGAUGAUGAUGUGAUGGUGUGUAUGAUGAUGAUGGGAUGAUGUGCAUGAUAAUGAUGGGUAUACGUAUACAUAUAUACAUAUGUAAAUAUGUGUGUUAUAGGAAAUUUAUGAGUAAUGGUAUAUGGUUGUAAUGCAUGUGAAACUUGACAUGUUAAACUUUGGAAAAUUGUCAUGUGUUUCAUGUUGGUUUGGACAUUUCAGCAGGGUGGUUUUUCUUUGGGAGAAAAGGGAAAUUUUUCAUUGGUGCCCUGUAUUUCGCUGCAGCGAGAAACUCUCUGUUUCAUCAGUUGAAUUUCGCUGCAACGAGAAAAAAUCUCGUUGUAGCAAGAAACCUUCUGUUUCUGGGUCACAAUUUCGCUGCAGCAAAAAACUUUCUGUUUUGGUCUCCUAUCUUGUCCAAUUGCUGCCCUAUCUUUCACUUCUUUGCUAUUAUAUCGGAGCAUGGACUUCCAACAUUAAGGAUUAAAUGAGUUAAGUUUAAAAUGGAAAGGUUUAGUGGGAAACCCUCGGCUAGUUGAGAAACCCUCGUUCGGCUAAUAACUAAAUCCCAACGUCACUGCAAUGAAAAUUCAUUCCCGCUGAGAAUACCUUUUCGCUGUAGCGAAGAUUCGUUGUCAUAUUUGACUUACUUGCGUAUCAUUGAAGCUUUCAUUCUUCAAAUAGUUCGAUAUAUAUGGGUUCAUGAUUUUCAAAUGAUUAAUCAUUUAAGGGCUUGAUGAGGGGUUUUUAAUAAGAACAGAAACAAAUCGCAUUAUUUUGAAAAGAAUGCAUCAUGAUUUCGUUAAAGAUUCCUUAUGGUAUGCUUGUUCCCUUCCUUGUUCACUCACUGGGUUUAUACUCACCGUUUUCAACUUCAUAUUUUUAGAUUACGAGGUAGCCGGUAACUAGGACGAGGUGUCCUUGUAGACUUAUAUCCAUCUUUUGGUAGGUGUCUCGGCAUUCAGUAGCUGUACAUUCGUUCGAGUCCCUCUGCUGAAAGUCGAGUAUUAUUUUGUUGUGUAUAGACGAACCUAAUAUAAAUUGUUAAGAUACAUGUUGUAGACAAUGUAUAUACACUUGUUUGGUAUGCUAGUAUGAGAUGGCAAUGUGUAGUACUAUUUUGAAUUCUAAGUUAUGAAAUAUGACUUAGCAGUUAUGAUGGGAUGAUGAACACAUCAUAUUAAUAGCCUUGCUUGGGCUUAGUGGACUAUGUCCAUUGGGCCCAUGCACCGGUCAUGGCCCGAAAUUUGGGUCGUGACACUUGACUAGUGCCAACAUUGGAUCAGGGCAGAAAACUUUUAGUGGGGGAAGGUAGCAAGAUUCAAGGCAGGGUAGUCAAGCUAUCGAUCAUUGCAAUAUUUGUGGAGUAUGGCAUAAAGGACAAUGUUUUCUUGCUACAAAAGUUUGUUUCUUGUGCGGCCAACCUGGACAUAUUAAGAGGAAUUGCCCGAUGGCUCAUCAAUCCUAAGGUUCUACUCGCGGCUCCACCCAGCCAGCUUCGUUUGCUCCUUCAAUAGCUGCCUCAUCUGAUCGAGAGGCUAGCGGAUCAAGAGGUAGAGGUGCUGUUACUUCCUCUCAGGGCAGGGUUUUUGGGUCUGGACGUCAAAGUUCCGCCGGUAGGGGUCAUGCCAGGGUAUUUGCUUUAACACUGCAGGAGGCACAAACAUCUAACGCAGUGGUCUUAGGUAUCCUUUCUAUUUAUAAUAUGGAUGCUCGAGUGUUGUUUGUGUUGGGAUGAGCCCUGCAGCCAAUUGGGAUUGGUUAAGGCUUGAUUCCAAUCAUGCAACAACAUCAUUCAUGUUGAAUGAUUAAAGGUUUUCCUUCAUCAAUAAGACAUCAAUUAUAACAAGUUAUAAGGCUAAUUGGAUGAAGUCUAUGAUAUUUAUAUGCCUUGCAAGGGAACUGUAAUGGGUUACAGUUAUGAGAUCCUUAUGCAUCAAAAUGUAAUCUCAAAUUGUUCCUGGUCAAUGUAUCAUUGAGACUGGACAUCAAUGAUACUUAGAGACUACUACAUUCUAUGUUCCUUACUUGAGAAGUAAGCAACCGAUCUCAUAGGUUGAAGUGUAGAGAUACUUGGAACUAGAAUGUAGGUGCUUGCCUAGGAGAGCAAGUUCACUGAACAUGACCUGCCAUGAGAAGUGCAUUUGGUAUGUCACUCAAGUGUCUAUGCAAUACUUCUCAUGUGUCAGUUGUGUAAAUACUCCCUAAACUUGAAAUACUAGGUUGUCUAAUGUGUGGAGUGCUAUGCUUUGAUUUCAUCCCUACGAGUGCCUAACCAAGGAUGCCUAAACAGGAUACUUUUGGGUAUAGUAUGAAGCAUGUGAAGGCAAAUGAGUAGUCAAGAUAAGAAUCAUCACCCCAAGUGAUACAAGGGACAUAUCCUAACUAUUCUUGGUUGAUAUCAGCUUAUUGAAGUCCUUGGCCAAGGCUACUUAAAGAUUAUGAAAGGAGUUUCAUAAGUCUUUGUAAAGCUGAUGAUCAAACUUUAAGAAUGAAUAUGGAGAUCAAUAAAAGUAGACACUGCACCAUGCUCUUAUCAUCUCCAGGAUAUAUGAUCACUGAAAGGUUGAGUCAAACCAUCUUGACUCUUUUAACAUUUAGGUGGCCAUGAUGGAUUGCUAGAUCCCAAUCUUGGUCCAUGAACUCUAGGUAGUUAACUUGAUUAAUGAUAAAUUUAAAGUAGUUUAAAUUUAUCUAAUUCUAAGUUUAACUUAAGAAUUAUAUGUUGAGUUCAUUGCCAACAUGUUAGAAGUCUAAUGGACACACCUAAAAUGAAUGUUGAAAAUAAAAUGGGAGAGGUGAUUAAGUUGGACUUAAUCAAAUUAGAAGUUAUGAGCUUCUCAAGCACUUGAUUAAAAUUGUUUAAUUAAAUUGUGCCUUAUUAACUAAAUUGUUUAAUUAAAUCAUUGGGCCUAAUUAAUUAAAUUAUUUAAUUAAGUCAUUAGGCCUAAUUAAUUAAAUUAAAUAAUUAAGUUAUUGUGCCUAAUUGAUUAAAUUUGUUUAAUUAAGUCAUUGGGCCUAGUUGAUUAAAAUUGUUUAAUUAAAUUGUUGGGUUUAAUUAAUUAAAUUGUUUAAUUAAGUUAUUGAGCCUAAUUGAUUAAAUUAAACAAUUAAGUUAAUUAGGCUUCUAAAGGACUUAAUUAAAUUGUUCAUUCAAAUUAUUGGAUUAAUUGGCAAUUACAAAAUAGUUUUGUAAUUAGGGUUUAAAAUUGAUCCAAGGUAUAAAUACGUUGCUAUAGCCUCUAAACAAAAAGAGUGGAAAUGGCUAAAAAAAAAACUGGAGUGAACGGUACAUUAGAAAUUCUUUUGUCUUGCCGUUCAUUAUGUGAAGAAAAAUAGUUUUUCAUUCACUUCAUUUUUUUUUGUGUGUUCAGCCCCACAAUUUUGUGUGGAUUAUGAGUUUAUGAAACUCAUCUUUGCUAGCACAUUGUCAAGGUAUAGCACUCACAAUCCUUAAAGAAGGAUUUUCUCAUUCAUUGGUGUGGAUCACCAUUAGAGGCUGCACAAGGAUUCAUUGGACAGCUUUGGUUUGCAACAAUCGGGCUGAGGUGGUUGAGCUUUUUGAAGGCUGAUUUGAUGAUUUAACAAAGGAUUCAUCAACCUUUGUUAUUUAGGUAAAGUGAUAUGAUCAUAUACUUUUAUUUUAAUUUAAUUCUGUACUCAAUUUGGCAUGAAAGAGAUCCUAGGAAGGUGAGGUGUAAAUUUAAUUUUUAAAUUUAUUUUCGCUGCAUUUUAUUCGUAUAUGAUGCAUGAUCAACCCUCACCCAACAAUGGUAUCAACUUUAUUUUAAUUUAAUUCUGUACUCGAGUUGGCAUGAAAGAGAUCCUAGGAAGGUGAGGUGUAAAUUUAAUUUUUAAAUUUAUUUCUACUGCAUUUUAUUUGUAUAUGAUGCAUGAUCAGCCUUCACCCAACAAUGGUAUUGUAGACACUAUAAAAAUUAUAAUAAAAUUUUAUUAAAAAAAUCAUAAACAAAAAAUGAAUGAAAAUGACAAAAAAAUAAUAAAGAAAAAAAAGAGUAAAAAGUACGAUCGGCAGGGUGCGGACGCACCCUGCCCGUCGCCACCCUCACCAUGCCAGAUGCGAAAAAUUCGCGUCUGGCAGAGUAGUGGAGCUUGCCCCCUUGAACCUAGUAUAAAGGGGGCACUGUAGCACUCAUCCGAGGGGGAGCCAAAAAAAAAUCAAAACAAACCCUAGCAACAUCAAAUAACCAAAAAAAAAUCCUUAUCUAGCAGCCAGAAACAGCCACAAAUCUUCAAUCGAAAAAUCACAAAAAAAUGAAAUAAAAAAAAUACAAUGAUAAAGGAGAAAGGGGUAGAUUUUGAUUUUUGGAGAGGGAUUUCUUUGGUCUAAGUAACCGGCGGACCAAAAGCGGUUUUGGUAACCGGUUGGAGAGGAAGGUCUUGCUUCCACCGGUUAGAAGACGACCUAGGUUCUAGUGCCGCCAGAGAGAGAACUGGUGGGAAGCCGGCGCUGAAGGGAGGAUCGAUCGGGCCAAGAGAAAUUGGUCGGCGGCCAAAGAGAGAGAAAGUGAAAGAGGGAGGAUCGAUCUGGUCAAGGGAGAUCGGUCGGUGGCCAGAGAGAGAAGGAGAGUCAGAUCUAGCCAUCGGGGUCCCUGAGUUGACGAAGGUAAGAACCUCCCCUAACCGCCGGUGGCCGGUGAAGAAAGAUUAGUGUGAGAGAGAAAAGUGAGAUUUUUAGAGAGAGAGGAGAGAAUCCGGCAGGUAGAGAGAGAAACAAAAAAGGGAAAAUAGGGAGAGAGGAAAGAAAAGAAGGAUUUUAUAGUUAGCGUUAUAGUGAAAUGACGCCGUUUUUGGCAUUUGGGAGCUGUUGGACCAGGGACCAGACGGUGGGCUUUGAGAAGCAGACCAGUUGGGCCAGGCCGAUCGUGUUGGGCUACUGUUAACCCACUGAAGGUAUAUACUUAUUUUUUGUUAUGAUUUUAUGGUUGUGCUUGGCAAUGAAAAUUAAAAAAAAUAUUAGAAAAUAAAAUUUUAAAAAAAUAGAUGAGAAUAAAAUAGGAUAUUUAAUGAUACAAAAAAAAUGAAUGAUGAUAAAAAAAUGAGAUUAGAUAAAAAAAAAAGAGUAUAUAUAUUUGAUUAUAUAAUAAAUAAAAAUAAAAUCUAGUGAAAUAGUUAUUUAACUAUAAAAACAGAUAUAAGCAUAAUAUAUAUAGAGAAAUAAAUAAACAUUUAAUUAAAAAAUAAUAAAAUAANNNNNNNNNNNNNNNNNNNNNNNNNNNNNNNNNNNNNNNNNNNNNNNNNNNNNNNNNNNNNNNNNNNNNNNNNNNNNNNNNNNNNNNNNNNNNNNNNNNNNNNNNNNNNNNNNNNNNNNNNNNNNNNNNNNNNNNNNNNNNNNNNNNNNNNNNNNNNNNNNNNNNNNNNNNNNNNNNNNNNNNNNNNNNNNNNNNNNNNNNNNNNNNNNNNNNNNNNNNNNNNNNNNNNNNNNNNNNNNNNNNNNNNNNNNNNNNNNNNNNNNNNNNNNNNNNNNNNNNNNNNNNNNNNNNNNNNNNNNNNNNNNNNNNNNNNNNNNNNNNNNNNNNNNNNNNNNNNNNNNNNNNNNNNNNNNNNNNNNNNNNNNNNNNNNNNNNNNNNNNNNNNNNNNNNNNNNNNNNNNNNNNNNNNNNNNNNNNNNNNNNNNNNNNNNNNNNNNNNNNNNNNNNNNNNNNNNNNNNNNNNNNNNNNNNNNNNNNNNNNNNNNNNNNNNNNNNNNNNNNNNNNNNNNNNAAAAAAUAAUAAAUAAACAAAUAAUAGAUAAAAAGGAAAAAAAUGAAAAAUAAAUAAAAUAAAACAAUAAUGAUAAUAAUUCAGAUAUGUACAUAAUAAAUUUGUGAAAAGGUAAUAUCCAUGACAUUAAAUCAAUAGACAAAUAAUAAAAACUAUUAAUGAGGAAAACCCAAAACACUAAAUGAUUUAAAAUCAAGUAUUAAAUAUCUAAUGGUAGAAGGUAUAGAUUAAUAAAUAUUAUGUAAAAAUGAUAAGAUAAGAAAUAUCAAGGAAUAUAUAGGAGUAACUUAGAAUAAAAAAUGUAAAGUAUGAAAAAAUAAUAACUAAAAAUAAAAUAAAAAAUAUGAUAAUAAAAAAAUAAAAUAAAAUAAAAAUAAUAAUUAAAUAAUAAUAACUGAAAAAAAUAGGUAAUUGCAUUAGCAUAGCAUAUAUAUAUAUAUAUUGCAUCAUGUAUAUCAUUGCAUAUAAAUAUUUCUGUUUUCGAAUCUAAGCCUCGAUGAUGGGAUCUUUUGAGGAUCUUGCGAAGGCGAGUAUUCCUCGAAAAGUUUCCUAGGUGAAAAGGUGUCUUCGGGUCCCACCAAUAUGAUGGGAGGGCUCGAAAAACAUCUUUAAUAAAAGGCUUUUGCCCGAAUUAGGUUUAUUAUGCACGAAAAUAUUAUUUAAAAAAAAAACGUAUGAUGACUCCGAUGAUGGGAAUUAUUCGUUGAAUUUGCAAAGGCGAGUUUCUCGGAUAAUUCUCUAGGUGAGAGAACACCCCGGAUCCCACCAGUAUGAUGGGCGGAUUCGGGAGAACAUCCUCGAUAAAAGGUUAUUCGUCCGACAUUUUUAUCUCACGCCAUGCAUCUCAUCUUUCCUCACAUUUGCAUUCCAUUUUAGGUUAAAUAGGAGAUAAAAUAAGAGAAUAAUAACUAAAGAAAUAUAGUGAAAUUAAAAAUUAAAGCCUAAUAGGAUAAUUUAAAAUGGUACCAUUCAUGGAACGGGCAUCCCGGGGGUGCUAAUCCUUCCUCGAGCGUAACCGUACUCCCGAACUUAGAUUUUGAAAAACAUAGACCAGUUUAAGAUUCUUUUCGGUGGGCUUAAAAUUAAUUUAAAGCUUCAUCGAUUAUAAUCGAGUCAAUAGGUAGCCAAUCACACCUAGUAAAAAAGGAUUGGUGGCGACUCCUAAUUUUUUAGAGUUUUCACUCGCGUCUGGCGGUCGGGUUUUCGGACCCGCACGUUACGAUAGUUGAUGACUCCACUGGGGACUGCCGAGAGUCGAACCAUUAAAUAAUAAUAGGUUAUCGAAGGCUUUAAAUAAUUCGAUGUUUUUUUAGUGUUGAUGAUUUGUUCUGCAUAUUUUGUUUAGUGCAUUUGUUUAUUUCGCAUUUGUUACUUUAUUGCUUUUAAGAAUUGUAGGGAUUUAGGAUAGAGGGAUGUGAGAAUGUUACUCCGAACUCGAUGUUUUUCUUCACACACACAGCACAUUUUGCAUUCAUGCAUAAACCCUCCACGCGGGUUAUGUCCUUUUUAGGAGGGAGUUUAGUAGCUACGCUCUCGUGAGGUGAUAACCUUCGCACGGGCUAGUGAAGACUCCCACUCAACUCGAACCUAGUCCGUUUGAAGCUUGUACUGGGUGAGGAUUGGGGUGCCUUACUAGUCCGUGUGGACGAUAGUGAGGAACGAUUUGGGAACCUUAGCUCUAUUUAUAAACCCCGCUCAGCAUAUAGAAUACUAAGAGCAGCUUAACCCUAGGUAUGGCCAUACCCAUGAGAGUAUACCCUAUAAAUAGGUACACAUGAAGGAAUUUCUUCCACUCCCUCUAUUUUAAAUUUUGCCACGAGAUAAUAAAGUAUCGUGGAGUAGACAGUAAUACCCAUGAUAUUGCUUAUUAUUCUCUUAUUAUUUUUAACACUCCAUUCUUUCUUUUUACCAUACUAACUUAAGUUUAUUUUGCUUGUCAUGUGCAUGUUACAUGUUCAUUUGCAUGCAUCGUAAUUGCAUAUAGGAGAAAUAUUGGCUACACAACAUCCAACCUAAGAGAUCCUAAUUACAUCCAUGGCAUCGUCAUCAGCAAGUCCACUCAACAUAUACAGAAAAGACUAUGAGAUAGAGUUACAAAUGAGGUCGAUUCAACAAGAAAAAGGAGACUGUUUGACCCAAGGACAUAUCAACUUUACCCGAGAGAGUUCACUUGGACCUUCAGCAGAAUGACUUCACAAAGAUGAUAGGAAUUUAGGAACAAUGGAGACGUGCUCACCGAGACAAUUUUCUGAGUAAGUAUGGACACAUUGCAUGGCUCCUAUAUGUACCUAUUGAUGACCAAAUGCUUCGAGCCAUCGUCCAGUUUUGGGAUCCUUCAUACCGUUGCUUUGUCUUUAAUAAGGUGGACAUGACCCCUACCAUAGAAGAGUACUUAUCUCUACUUCGGAUAGAUCACAUGCAACCUAACAAGAUCUAUUGGAGAGCCCAGAAGAUGGGACAUCGACGGAAGUUGGCAAGUUGCUAGGAAUGACUACGGUAGAAGUGGAUUAGCACUUGAAGAAGAAAGGAGACACAAAAUGCCUUCCGUGGAGUUUCUUGAACGGAUAUAUUAAAAAACACAUGGAGGAUGAACAAGGUCUCCUAGUUUUCGUGAUGGCAAUCUAUGGCUUAGUGGGCUUCUCGAAGGUUUUAGGUCAUGUGAAGGUAUCAGUCAUAGACUUCUUCGAUCAGGUGACAAGGAGUAUCAACCCGACCCAUCCAUCUUAGCUGAAACCUUCAAAUCUUUGAAUUUCUGUAGGCGCAAAGGCGAGGGACGAUUCAUUGGAUGUGCCCAACUCUUAACCAUAUGGAUCAAAAGCCAUUUCGAAUGCAAAGAGAGCAAAUUUCAAAAGCUUUAUCUAUCUGCGAGUUGCCCUAUCCUUGAGUUCUGUGAAAGUGAAUGGCCCGACUGUAAGAGGAAAGAAGAGUGGGUCGCGAUGCUCUGGAGGUUAAUGAGCGUUGAAGUGACUUAGAGAGCUCCAUGGAUGCCGCGAAUGCAAGUGAUGUAUAAAUGCGAGGACAAACCGUGGGUGCCGCUGAUGGGACCAUGGGGAGCCAUUAGCUAUGCACCGAUAAUGGUACUGAGACAGUUCGGAUCUGAGCAAUUUGUGCCCAUGACUCACCAGCUCAACUAGUUAGAGUUUACAUAUGGAGAGCUGAAAACGCUAAAGAAAAUUGAAAAAAUUGCACAAGAUUGAAAGAAAACGUGCCGAGUGGAUCAAGGGAGGGUUACCGAUGAAGUCACCAUAGGAUAUGAUACUUGGCACGACCAAAGGGUGAAGAAUGUCGUAUGCCCCCCCAAGAAAUCCAUCAAAACAUCCCAUAAACCUAGAACCUCAAGAUGUCUUGCUAGAGAGUGAGUUGACAAGAAAGAGACUUGAAAAUGAGAUGAUGAAUAUGAAGAGGAGACAUGAGGAUAAGCUAGAAGAAGUGAAGAAAGAGAACGCAAGAAAGGUACGGAUGGCUUUGGAGAAGGGGGAUGAGUGGCAAAGCAAGUUUGAGGAAGUGAACGUGGCAAAUUCUUCUUUGAUAGCCAGAAUGCAAGAACUCCAAAGUGUCAACAAUGCUUU